GGUUAAGCGACUAAGCGUACACGGUGGAUGCCCUGGCAGUCAGAGGCGAUGAAGGACGUGCUAAUCUGCGAAAAGCGUCGGUAAGGUGAUAUGAACCGUUACAGCCGGCGAUGUCCGAAUGGGGAAACCCAGUGCAAUUCGUUGCACUAUCGUUAACUGAAUACAUAGGUUAACGAGGCGAACCGGGGGAACUGAAACAUCUAAGUACCCCGAGGAAAAGAAAUCAACCGAGAUUCCCCCAGUAGCGGCGAGCGAACGGGGAGCAGCCCAGAGUCUGAAUCAGCUUGUGUGUUAGUGGAACGGUCUGGAAAGUCCGACGGUACAGGGUGAUAGUCCCGUACACCAAAAUGCACAGGCUGUGAACUCGAAGAGUAGGGCGGGACACGUGGUAUCCUGUCUGAAUAUGGGGGGACCAUCCUCCAAGGCUAAAUACUCCUGACUGACCGAUAGUGAACCAGUACCGUGAGGGAAAGGCGAAAAGAACCCCGGCGAGGGGAGUGAAAAAGAACCUGAAACCGUGUACGUACAAGCAGUGGGAGCACCUUUAUGGUGUGACUGCGUACCUUUUGUAUAAUGGGUCAGCGACUUAUAUUCUGUAGCAAGGUUAACCGUAUAGGGGAGCCGCAGGGAAACCGAGUCUUAACUGGGCGUUAAGUUGCAGGGUAUAGACCCGAAACCCGGUGAUCUAGCCAUGGGCAGGUUGAAGGUUGGGUAACACUAACUGGAGGACCGAACCGACUAAUGUUGAAAAAUUAGCGGAUGACUUGUGGCUGGGGGUGAAAGGCCAAUCAAACCGGGAGAUAGCUGGUUCUCCCCGAAAGCUAUUUAGGUAGCGCCUCGUGAAUUCAUCUUCGGGGGUAGAGCACUGUUUCGGCUAGGGGGUCAUCCCGACUUACCAACCCGAUGCAAACUACGAAUACCGAAGAAUGUUAUCACGGGAGACACACGGCGGGUGCUAACGUCCGUCGUGAAGAGGGAAACAACCCAGACCGCCAGCUAAGGUCCCAAAGUCAUGGUUAAGUGGGAAACGAUGUGGGAAGGCACAGACAGCCAGGAUGUUGGCUUAGAAGCAGCCAUCAUUUAAAGAAAGCGUAAUAGCUCACUGGUCGAGUCGGCCUGCGCGGAAGAUGUAACGGGGCUAAACCAUGCACCGAAGCUGCGGCAGCGACACGAUGUGUUGUUGGGUAGGGGAGCGUUCUGUAAGCCUGCGAAGGUGACCUGUGAGGGUUGCUGGAGGUAUCAGAAGUGCGAAUGCUGACAUAAGUAACGAUAAAGCGGGUGAAAAGCCCGCUCGCCGGGAGACCAAGGGUUCCUGUCCAACGUUAAUCGGGGCAGGGUGAGUCGACCCCUAAGGCGAGGCCGAAAGGCGUAGUCGAUGGGAAACAGGUUAAUAUUCCUGUACUUGGUGUUACUGCGAAGGGGGGACGGAGAAGGCUAUGUUAGCCGGGCGACGGUUGUCCCGGUUUAAGCAUGUAGGCUGGUUAUCCAGGCAAAUCCGGAUAAUCAAGGCUGAGGUGUGAUGACGAGGCACUACGGUGCUGAAGUAACAAAUGCCCUGCUUCCAGGAAAAGCCUCUAAGCAUCAGGUAACAUCAAAUCGUACCCCAAACCGACACAGGUGGUCAGGUAGAGAAUACCAAGGCGCUUGAGAGAACUCGGGUGAAGGAACUAGGCAAAAUGGUGCCGUAACUUCGGGAGAAGGCACGCUGGUGUGUAGGUGAAGUCCCUGCGGAUGGAGCUGAGACCAGUCGAAGAUACCAGCUGGCUGCAACUGUUUAUUAAAAACACAGCACUGUGCAAACACGAAAGUGGACGUAUACGGUGUGACGCCUGCCCGGUGCCGGAAGGUUAAUUGAUGGGGUUAUCCGUAAGGAGAAGCUCUUGAUCGAAGCCCCGGUAAACGGCGGCCGUAACUAUAACGGUCCUAAGGUAGCGAAAUUCCUUGUCGGGUAAGUUCCGACCUGCACGAAUGGCGUAAUGAUGGCCAGGCUGUCUCCACCCGAGACUCAGUGAAAUUGAACUCGCUGUGAAGAUGCAGUGUACCCGCGGCAAGACGGAAAGACCCCGUGAACCUUUACUAUAGCUUGACACUGAACAUUGAGCCUUGAUGUGUAGGAUAGGUGGGAGGCUUUGAAGCGUGGACGCCAGUCUGCGUGGAGCCAACCUUGAAAUACCACCCUUUAAUGUUUGAUGUUCUAACGUGGGCCCCUAAUCGGGGUUGCGGACAGUGUCUGGUGGGUAGUUUGACUGGGGCGGUCUCCUCCCAAAGCGUAACGGAGGAGCACGAAGGUUAGCUAAUCCUGGUCGGACAUCAGGAGGUUAGUGCAAUGGCAUAAGCUAGCUUGACUGCGAGCGUGACGGCGCGAGCAGGUGCGAAAGCAGGUCAUAGUGAUCCGGUGGUUCUGAAUGGAAGGGCCAUCGCUCAACGGAUAAAAGGUACUCCGGGGAUAACAGGCUGAUACCGCCCAAGAGUUCAUAUCGACGGCGGUGUUUGGCACCUCGAUGUCGGCUCAUCACAUCCUGGGGCUGAAGUAGGUCCCAAGGGUAUGGCUGUUCGCCAUUUAAAGUGGUACGCGAGCUGGGUUUAGAACGUCGUGAGACAGUUCGGUCCCUAUCUGCCGUGGGCGCUGGAGAAUUGAGGGGGGCUGCUCCUAGUACGAGAGGACCGGAGUGGACGCAUCACUGGUGUUCGGGUUGUCAUGCCAAUGGCACUGCCCGGUAGCUAAAUGCGGAAGAGAUAAGUGCUGAAAGCAUCUAAGCACGAAACUUGCCCCGAGAUGAGUUCUCCCUGAGACUAUAAGUCUCCUGAAGGAACGUUGAAGACGACGACGUUGAUAGGCCGGGUGUGUAAGCGCAGCGAUGCGUUGAGCUAACCGGUACUAAUGAACCGUGAGGCUUAACCUU
rnacentral:rRNA from 1 species